rnacentral:lncRNA from 1 species
ACAAAUCUCCACCUUUUACAAUAUAAACUCAUCCCAGCUCAACCCCAUUUCCCAUGGAAACAAACAAGAUUACCUUCUCUCAUCAGUGCCUUGUUCCUGAAAAGAUGUUGAUGGCUCUGAUGCAUACUUCUACCACACAUCCUAUAUAUAUAGUUCAACAGAAUGAUACGUUUAUAAAUGUUUCAACUCAGAUAUACAGUGGACAAGCUACGGAGGACAAAAGUCAUUUAUUGUAGGAAACAAAGUGCUCAUGCAUCUGUUAUGAGGGUGUGUAGAAAGUGACACUCAAAUCAUAGUAACAUAUACAGUUCAGCAAAACGAUACUUUAUCAGAUAUUGCCAUUCAGCUAUCUGCUAAUGUAAGUGAUAUAGUAAGGAUCAACAGAAAUUUGAUUCAAAACCCAAAAAUCAUAGAUGUUGGGUGGGUGUUCCAAGGGCAAAAAAGAUGUGACUAAGAUUUUGGUUCAAUCAAGACCUUAUAUCCUAAUUUAUGUAUUUGAAACGUUUGCUUCAUAAUUAUCAAGCUACAACCAAGAAAUGAUACCGUUAAGGUAUUAUGUGUGAGCAAUUUUUUGGGCCUCCAUAUGAAUUACUUCUAAUAUUUGAGCUGUGUACCAUGUUACUUUCAACCGUACAGAACUAUUUAUUUAUUUAUUUGUCUUAAUUACCUUAAAUUGCCAUCUUUAUCUUAAACAUUUUCUUUAAACAUCAUGAGACCUUCAUUUUUAUCAUUCAUGAAAAUCUGUUUCAGCUUCUUGUCUAUCUCCCUUUCCAAUCAUGUGAAACUUACAGGAAGCUUAGCUUUACAUAAACUAAUGCUUUGGGCAAGAGAACUCAAAUGAAACUUAGAAGUGGUAAAAUGAUGUAUCCAAAAUUCCUGUACGCAUGGCAUCUGACAUUACAAAUUUAACACAGCUUCUACGCGUUAACAACCCACUAACAGAAAGAAUUAAUCAUUCAAAAUCGAAAAUCUGGUCAAUUAUUAAAAUCUCUGAGAUUUUAGUUACAUGGAUAAAAGUAAAACUCAAAGGAUAUUUUGUGUAAUUUUCCCAAGAAAAAUUCUAGCAGUCUUAGUUCCAAAGGCAGCAGAUAUCAAACGCUUAAAACAUUCGGUUGGGGUACUACUUAUCUGAUCACCAUAAGUUGUACAAAUGGACAGAUCAACUUAACCUGAGAUCUAACCUCUUUCACUGAUCCUGGUUAAGACAUUGACAAUAAAUAGAAAUUGUCAAAUCAGCCCAUCCAGUGUUGUCUGAACGUCUUGGGCAUUGCAGCUAGAACUUUCAAUCAUUCUCAGACUCUUCAAACAAGCUUAUGCCUACACGUCAUAUAAAGCAUUGAACAUUACUUUUUACUGCUUUAUAUUGUUGUCAAAAAGCAAGCAAAAUACAAAUUUAGGUUUUGGAUUCAAGGAUAUCAUUCCAUGACUUAUCAUCCUCUAGUAUCCAUAACACUAUAUGUAUGAUAUUUAACUAGGUUCCCUUGAUGUGGGGAGGCUUCCCAUAUGUAUUCAUGCUCAAGCAUCUUAAGCUUUUCAAAUUGAAUGUAAAACAACGUAAAAUAUAAAACCCCAAAUAGCACCUUGAAUGAAAUUAAGGUUAGAUACUUCACACCGUGUAUUCAAGCAGAACCCCUUCUCAAGCGAUCAAGGAUCUGCAGUCAUUAACAAAUAGCAACUAUUAUCACUUUGCUAAUAGAAAACAGUCAAAUCAGAUAUAUUCACAACGCACUAGUCAAUAUGUGCACGCAUAGAUACAUAUUUGUGCAAGUUUUCUUGUGAUUAGCAAGAAGGGGCAUUUAGAAAGUGAUAUCAGCUAUUUAUUAAUUGAAGAUAGGCAACAACUACAAUAAUAUGGAUCCUUAGAAGUGAAUCUCCUAAUAUAUCAUCAAGAAAGUGAUAAAAACUUAUAGUCCUACGGACUAUAUGUUGUUCCACACAUUGAUUAGUGUCCUCAAAAAAUUGGAAAAGAAACGAUCUUUCAUGCUAUCACGUAAAAAAGAAGUACAAUGAGGUAGUCAAAAGAAGUUCAUCAACAUACCAUGACAGGAUACUGUAUAACCCAUCCAAAAACUGGAAUCUGACAGAGGAAGACCCUGACAGAAGGCCAAAAGCCACUAAAAGAAGAACAAAAUGCAACAACAGUUAGAAGCAGCAUAAGCAAAUUAUCCUAUUUAAGCUCAUGAUGAGAUGAGAAACUAACCCAAAAAGAACAAUGCAACCAUAUAUCUCCAAGAUUAUACCAACUAUCGGCCAACGAACAAAUAAGAAAAAGAGACCCAGAAGAAAAGAAGCAGAACCCUGCAUAAGAAAGGAGAAGAUUAAAAAAGGAGAGAGAGAGAUGAAAUUACAUAAAUCUACAUCCAAUACGAUACAUUUCAAUUCUUCAAUAUAUAUAAAACAUUUGAGAACAAAGUAGUUCUUGUAAGAACAAGUUAGUGUUAUAUCCUAUGUUAAAUAUGGUUAGACUUUUUAAUGGCCUUAAAUUCAGGUAGCAUUACCAUCUCUUAACAUUUGGUUUUAGGUUCUAUGCUUAACAUGACUUAAAAGCUCAAGUUUCAAUUGCCUGGUUUCAUAGUUCAGAUGAUAACCCUGUUCUUCUUGAUUGUUCUAAUAAGCCCACAUGUGAGAUUGUGUUAUGUAGUGCUCUCACAUCAGUUGCAUUUAGGAGUCUAUAAUGGCCUUUCAUUCAGGUGUACCUCCAAACCUAUAUCUAAUGAUAGGAGCUCUAUUUUCAUUUUGUUUGAGAUUUGUUGUCACUUCAUCUCCAAGUUGACAGUGUUUACCUAUUGUCAAAUGUCAAUAUUUGCUAUCUAUGCAUAGUUCAUAGAUAGUUCUAUUCAUCUCAUUAUUUUAUUCCUUACACAUAAAUAGAAGUUUCAAGAGGGGUUAUAUCCCACAAUGCAAGUUUCAAGUUUCUAAAGUUCUUAUAUUUGGUUGGCCCCUCCAACCCAUAACUAAUUGCUUUUAGGUUUCAACCCCCACUACGUGGUUGGAAGAAGGGAAAAGAAAAAAAAAUGAGUAAGUAUGAGAAAAAGUAGGAAUUAGUUGUUUUUAAGUGCCCAGUAAACCCCCCCCCCCCCCCCCCCCAAAAAAAAAAAAAAGAAGAAAAUUUAAAAGAUAAAAUAAAUUGAAAUGGAGGAGUGGGACACAAAUUUUUUUUAAGAAAGAAAAAUGACUAAUAUAAUCAUAUAUUUAUUUAUUUAUUAUUAUUUUAUUUGGAUUUUAUGUAGUCUUCCAACUAAACUAACAUCUCUCAACUUGUGACACUAACUCAAUCAAUGGCUUCAUAAAUUAGUAUAGAUGCUUAACAAGCAAAACUAUUACUUUCAUGCCAAAUAAAAUACUGCUAAAUGAUCGAUAAAGAUGGAGCUAAGUCCUAAUCUGCCACAAAUACUUGGAUGGCCUUCAUACUCCAUAACAUACACUUCCUUAUCUAGAGGAGACAUCGCAUAUAUUUAUAGAGAAUACAAUUAGUAGAGAAACUUUUGAGGCAUUGAAGCAGGGUUGAAGCAAAUUGGAAAGAGCACCAUGCCUUUUAUCAGCCAAAUUAAAACUAAUACCUAAAGAACGCAAGGCCACUUCCAAAGUCUUGCAUAACAAUAGUAUACAAAGCAACUGCUUAAAAAUGCUGUUAUGAUAGAAGAAACCAAGCAUAAAUGAUACAUCAAGAUGUUCCUAACUUUCAUUAGAAAGCCCAAAAAACAAGGCUUUUACUAAGUGGCCCUAUUGCUAUACAGGUUGAUCUGAAAAACUAAGACUGCAUGAUAAUCUUCAGAUAGGAUAAGGAUUUUCUCAAGUCCACAAACAUGGUGCUCAUGCCACUGAAGGUAUCAAAGACCUUUCAUGAAUGAUUUAUUCCAAAGAAUAAACAUGAAGAAAUUAAAACCAUUGUAAGAAUUAUGGACCUAGUGAUUGGCACAAGGUUUUGGUAUUGGAUACCUUGUAGUUUUUCCUGUUAGUGAAAAGCUGCAAAGUAGAAUACCAACCGAUCAAAAUUGCCACCCCUGCUAAGCAAAAAAUCUGAUUGCAUAAUGUCAGAAAGUUAGAGUACUGAAAUAUAAUAAAAAAAAUUAUCAUAUUAUGUCAUAUAAUCUACAUCAAAAUAUGUAGUUUCUAAAGAAAGCCUUACAUUUCCUAGAGCAAGUAGACCCCUGUCAAAGAAGAGGAUUACACCAAGAAAUGAGAAGAAGAUACCAAAGCCAAUAAGACCCAAGCCAAUCUCUGCAAAAUUAGGCCAAAAUUUCUCAUAUUACAAGCCAAAGUUAAAUUAACUAAUUAAAUAUCUCAAGAGAAAAUAGAAAUAAUUACAGUCAAACAAGUUCAGUGAAAUAUAAAUUUUGUUCAAGUUACAUGGUGAAUUUGAUACCCAAUAAAACUUCACUUCAUGUGUGCUUAUGACCAACUACCCGUCCAUACAUUCAAAACCAGAAGACUGCUCAUAACCCAACAUCAAUGCUUGACACAAUGCAAUCAAAUGUAGGUUCAGUCACUUUAUGACAGCCUACUUUUUUGCAUUCUAAUAAGUUCACAUAAAAUUCAAAGAAACUACAUCGUGCUUAAAUCAUACACUAGGUGAGGUAGUAUGAGAAAUAUAAGUAGAAGAUUCUAUGACAUUGGAAUUUAAGAAAAUGGAAUUUGGAUGUUAAUUUAACUGCAUUUGAAAAGAACCAUAAUUUAAAACAAAACUAUCUUCAUGAAGACAGACAAAUGCUCUUUGGUGAAGCCUGCAUACAUCAAAUACCCAAUCACAUGAUAAUUACAUCCAGUGAAACAAAAUUAUUCUACACAAUUUGCACAUUGGCGCAUGUCUAAUCACUGCAAAAGAUAUAAUGUUUCAAUAAUCCAUAUCAAGCAUGGUAAGGCCACUGUGUGCAAAGUCCAAAUGAGCUCAUAUUUACACAAGAAAACUAUGCUUACUUUUUUGCUCAGUUAUUUCAUACACCAUCUUGAAAUUAUCAGCUGCAAUCCGGAUAGGCGUAAGACCUGUAGGAAGUUCAACUAAUCUACAACAUGAAUGAGAAUUGAAGUAGGAUUCAGGAAAUCAUAUAUUGGCAAUAAAUUAAAACCAUGUUACGACAAAUUUAUGUGUAGUUUUGAGAGUAAGUUGAAUUGAUGUUUAUGAACAAAUCAAAAUCCCCCAUAAUAAUUCAAACAAAUUAACAAGUUACCAAAACAAAUUAUUUAAAAAAUAAAUACAAACAUUUCCUCCUUUAGAUUCACAUGCACAGAAAAAAAUCAUGUAACAAAGAAAAAGAAAAGAAAAGAAAACAAUUCAAGAUAAUAGAAAAAAAAUAUAAAUAUAAACCCAGAAACACUAAAGACUGAUCAAUUGAAAAUCAACGGAAAAAGAGAGUUUACCCUUCAGCAAAGCAAUGAAAGCCGGUCGCUGCUUCCCUGGAAGGCUGAAGCAGAGCUCCGCUACCGAUUGUUUUGACUUCAUUGAAAACGGUCCGUUUAAUGAAUCAUGAACAAUUGCAGGCUUGGGCUUGUAAUUAGAUCCGCUACAAAUGGACCAUUAAUUAAAAGUCCAAAGCCUAGGUUGGGCCUAGAAUCCAAUGUUAAUGCUAGCCCAGUGUUCGGUCAGCUCCUCCAUUGCAAAGAGAAGAAGAAAUCAUGCUAUGACCAUGAACGCUGCCAAAAUCAACAUCAUGUGUCCCAAAAUCAAAGUGAAACUUGCAAUCGCUGCUCAAACACAUUGGUUAAAAGUAUUCAUAAGUACCUGCGCUUUGGGUUUUCGUUAAUUUAGCUUCUUUAUUUUAAAAUUAAUUAAUUUAAUUUUUAUACUUUAAAAUUUUAUACAACUGAAUCUCACUCGUUAAUAUUUUAGUAAUACUGUAAAAUAAAUACUGUAAAUAAUUAUUACUGUACACACUCAACAAUCAUUUUAUCUUAGCUAGAUAAAAAACAUAGUUUAUUUUAUCUAUGAUAACUUUAAAGAUUGAUUUUAGAGUGCUCGUCAGCAAUUAAUUAACAAUGCAUUCCUUUCAACUUCCUAAGGCUAGGGGAUGGAAGUCGGAUAAGAUUUCCAUUCAUUAUAAUUAUUGCUUACUAUAAGUUAAUUUGACAAAUUGUGUUUUUGUAUUUUAAACAUGUUAGAUACGAUUACAUAUGAAACACAUUAAAUUAAAAAUGAAUACGACAUGAAUAAUAUUCGUAUCUUAAAUGUAAAACACGUAUAUAUAUACGUUUAAUAAUCGUAUAACACAACAUGACAUUAUUAACACACUUGUUAAAUGUGUCAAUAUAUGACAUGACAUGAUUAAUAAUAUGAUGAACUCAAUUAAAUAAAAAUAUUUAUAAUUAAAUAUAAUUUUAUUAUUUAAAUUUAAAACUAAUAAUUAUAAAAAUAAUUAUAACCAAAUAAAAUAAUAAUAACAACAUCAAAUAUAACAAAAUAAAAAUUCAAAAUUAGGCUUUGGACAUGGUAUAAUUGCAUUAUUGUUUUUAUAAAAUUUAAAAAACUUAUUAAAAUUAUUAUUUAAAAUUAUUUAAAUAAGGUUAAAACAGUAUUUGAUUAUUAAUUUUAACAAGUUGAUAAGCAUGCCACAUAUACAUGUUUAAAUAUAAUAAUACAAUUAAACACGUAUAUAUAUUUAAAUACAAUAAUACGAUUAAUUAAACGUACUUAAAUGUAUUUUAAACGUGUUACUUGUGUCUGACACAUUAAGAGAUAAAAUACGUUAAAAUUAAAUUCAAACUUAUUUAAUCUCGUAUCUCCUUAUAUCGUAUUAACGUGUUGUGUUCAAAAUUAAUAAAUCUAACUAAACAAAUAUUUGAACCUCUAGUGGAGCUCUAAACCCCAUAAAUAAUGACCAUGAUGUCAGUUUUGCUGGGGGGUUGGUGCAAUGCACCUUGUAAAAGAAGCUUGUUUUUCUUUUAUUGAUUUGUGUACAUAAAAAAAAGGAAAAACAAAAAAAUUGGCUAAAGCCCAAGCUGGGAAGUCAUUAUCAUCAUCAAUAACUUAAUUGAAUCAAAUAUGACUUGAGUAAAAUAGCUCAGUUCAAUUGAUUUAUUGAAUUUAUUGAUUUUAAAAAGUUUCAUCUAAUUGAUUCAUUUAAUCGGUUUUCGAUUUUAAAAUUUUUAAACCGAGCUAAUCAAAAGAUUAAAUUAAUAUUAUAUAUCAUUUUUAUAUUUAUAUAAAAUUUAAAUUUUAAUAUUAAUUUUUAUAUUUAUAUUUUAUAAUUAUGAAUAAAAUUUAUAUAUUUUAAUAUUGUAAUUUAAAAAAAAUGAUCAUUUUGAUCCAAAAUGGAACCAAUUCAUGUUUGAUCCUUUUGAUAUUUUCUUAUAUUUGGUCAAUUUUGAUCAAUUUUUUAAAAAUAUUUGCUUCAGUUUAUUUUUAAAUAUAACGAAUCAAACCGAUCAAACCAUCCAAUUGCUCACUCUCUACUCUCAGGGCAUGCUUAGUUAAGGAAAAUGGAAUAGUCAUUCCUCCUCUAUUCUCAUUAUUGAGAUAAAGCUGUAUUUGGUUCAAUAGAAUGGUUAUUCUUCAGAAUAACCAUUUCAAGAGAAACUUGAAUAGUCAUUACCAAUACCUCUAUUGGUAAUAACUAUUAUAAAUUGUCAAAAAUAAAAAAAGAAGUUGAUUAGACAAAUAUACAUUUUUACAAUUUAAAAAAUUACCUUAUAAAAAAAUACUAAACCUUUUUUUUUUCUCCCUCUUCCUCACUCCUUCUCUCUCUAAAGCACAAAAGACACAAAAUUUUUUACUUCGUUUUCAAAAAAAGAGAAAUGAAAAAAUUUAAAUAUUAUUUAAUAUAUUAAUAUUAUUUCACUAUAAUAAGUAUUAUAAAGUAUAUUACUUAAUAUUAUUAUUUGAAUAUAAUAAAUGCAAUAAAGAAUAUUAUUUAGUAUUAUUUAAAUUUAAUGAAGAAUAUAUUUUAUCUUUAAUAUUAAAUAUUAUUUAAUUAUAAUAAACGGUUUAAUUAUUUUAUAAUAUAAAAUAUUAUUAAAUUAUAAUAAAAAUAUGUUUGUAUUUUGGUGAAAAUAUUAUUUAAUUAUAGUAAAAGUUAUUUUAAUUUUAUUACUCAAAAUACUUUUAUCUUUUAACAAAAUAAAUUCUUUAAUUUUAAUAAAGAGUAUUUAUUUCUCAUAAUAGUUUUUUUAUUUUUAAUUAAAAAAUAUUUAAAUUUUAAUAAAAGGUACUUGUAUCAUUUACUUAUUAUUUUUUAACCAUUUUUAAAAUUAUUCUUACUAACCAAAUAAUGAAAUAAGUAAUAAUAGUAAUUUCUAUCUUAUUUUAUUUUCAUGAACAAUCUACAUAAUAAUUAUUUUUUCUCUAUUAUAUUCUCUUGAAAUGAUGAUUUUAUUUUCAUUUUAUUUUUUUCAAUGAACCAAGCAUGCUAUCAAUCUCAUUGACAGCUGCUUUGACAUAUUCUUCGGAGUGCCAAACUUGUUAUGGUAGAAAAGGGUCCGACCAUGGCAAAUAAGCCUCCUUUAUAAAUUCUCCCAUCCCAUGGAUCAUCAACACCAUUAUAAUAAAUUGUCGCCUAAAGAUAUUUGAGCGGUGGCUUUCUUCAACCAAAUUGGUCAAAGACAUAGGCUGGGUCCGUCUUUGCCAGGAUUUGGGCUUUUCUGGCCUAACUAAAGUUUCUGUCCACUGUAGAGCCCAAAAGAUAUUGGGCUUUAUCUCUCAACUAUUAGUGGAAGAUUGCCCAAAACAUUUGGGCCAAAAAGCAAAAGGGCAAGAAAAUUUGAAUACAGAGUCGCACAACUUGCCUCAAAACUACUUAUAAACCAUAUUCCUCCUUUCCUUCCGUUUCUCCAACUUUCUCUUCUCCCCUUUUUUUGAAUUUGUUUCAAUCAAGAUCAUAUUAUUGCGGCUUUUUUUGGGGGUAGAAGAAAGCUCUUUUGUCAUCGAAAUCAUUGAUUGGUACCUUCUCUCUUUACCCCUUUGUUUAAUUUUCUUUUCCAAAUUUUAUUUUACUAUCAGUUGCAUGAAAUUUUCUAUUGUUAAAUUUAAAUAUCGCUGGGGAAUUGUAAUAAAACCAUAUGAAAAAUGAAUUAAUAAAUGUGGUUUUUCAAUGCUAAUUUGGAUGUUUUAGUUUGCUUGUAAAAACAUUUAGCUAAUUCUGUUUCUUCGCGUCCGUAUUAAUUUUUAUGUUAUUGGCAACGGUGUAAUAUUGGUAAUCUGCUACGUUCAAAGAUAUGGAUGUUACUGUCUUAGGCAUAACCUUUCAAGUUAAAAUGAUCUGCUUCAACUUUUUACUCGCUUUUAGAAUCAAUAUGAAUUUGGGUUGUUGCUUUUGCAAGCAAUUAAUGUCAUUUGAAAGCAUAGGUCUACUGGGGUUGGACUCUUAUUCUAGGUCGACUUAAAAUCCGGAUAGUUUCCGUUAUCAAGUUUAGGUUGCAUCUUGCUUCAGUAACCUCUAUCUAUUACUCUUUUCCUUACUUUGAUGUUUUAGGGUAUAACUGUUUCUGUUACAACAGUUCAUCAUAGGAUCCCGAAGCUUUUAUCUUCUUGAACCUUGGCUUCUUUAGCAUAUUUUUGGUUGUGAGACAUUGGAGAGGAAAUGAAUUUAAAUUACUAGAUAGUAUUAAACUUUAUGUUUAUUAUUGAUUUUAUUUUAAGAAUUUAUCUUGAUCUCAAAUGAGUUGAGUUACAUUAUGGUUUGCUCGGUUGGGGUGCUUAGUUUUCCCAAACAACCAAAUUGAGCAUUAAAAUGAGUACCUGUUAGAAUAGUUAUGUUUGUAUCAUUAGUGUAUGGAGAGAGAAAGAGAUCAGGCAACUCAAUUUCCUUGCUAGUUAUUGCUGUAACAUUCUGAAAUUUUAAUUGAUAUUGAUGUGAGACAAUGUUUUGUAAUAAAAUGUCAAGAUAUUUAUUCCAAGCUAAGCUGUCUAAUUUGAGGAGAUGUAAGCAAUAUUCCUUCCGAUUCUUUGGCCUUAUUCUACAAAUUUGUGGAUCGCUGAUAAGAAGUGGCCUUUUUAAACUUUAAGUAUAGGAGUGAAAAGGUCAAAAGACCUUACAACCUGGAAAUGCAACUUUUAGGUUAAAGAAUCAAUUUGGAAUAAUUUAAAUUGUUUACAAGGUUUAAUAUAGUUCGCAAUCAGCUUUGUUGAACUGUCUUGUGGUUCUUUGGGUUUUGAUUCGGUUUGGUGUUGUGCUGGUACAUAGAUUUUAAGAAUUCUCAGAUUUGAAACGCUAUCUACUUGCUUAAGACAGGUAAAAAUUACAAAAGAAAAAAACUGUUUCUUUCCAACAGAAAAAAGAACAUAAUGAAACUAAGAACUAAGUUGUUGCUGAUGUUUUGUUUUUCCCAAGACACGUUGGGGUGUUGCGGUUUCACCAUCAAAGGAGAAUGAAAAUUUUAAUGGUUAGUUGUAAAAUUUGUUUGUAAGAAUCUUUGUUGUUUUUGUUCGCCGGUCACUUUAACAUAUCCUGUCUUUCACCUAGGAAAGUUUUAUUGUUGUGUGUGUGUGUGUGUUUUUUUGUGGUUAUCUCUUUGUAUAUGCUUUGCUUGCAGUGUAAGAGCUUAUGGGCAUUUUCUGCUUUUAUAUUCUUUUUGGGUUUUUAGAUGGGUUUUCUUUUCUGGGGUAUGCUUGUAUUUUUGUUAUUUAUAGUUGUGCUUUAUAUAUUUGUCUACUUUUUUGAAGGAAGAAUCAUUGGCCGCACUUUCAUUCUUUUUUGGAAGAGAAAGAAGAUAAAGGAUGGGAAGAAGAUUAGGAGUUGGAAGGUCCCCUUCCUCCUCCUCCUCUGUGCUUAACCAAAAGAUUCUCAGCCGUCGACUCUUGUCAUGCCAGCAGUAUGCUGGUUCCACAGUCGAUGAAAUUGUGGAGCUCCUUCAAACUAACUACCCUGAUUACAGACGCAUCAAGAAGCAACCUUUAACCAGGGUGGUCAAACAGGCCCUACAAGCUCUUCAGUCCUCUUCCAAAAACAGCCAAAAGGCCUCUCUUUCCGUUUCUGAUUUCAACUUUGAUGAUGAUGGACACAAUGAACUUGCCAUUGCACCUUUUUCUUCUUCUCCUCCUCCUACCUGUUCUCGGAAGAAGCCAAGGAGAAUGGAUGAGACUGAAGAAAGGUUACAGCGUAUGGAGGAUUUGCACAUUCAAAGGCGACAGAUGCAGCACAACUCCAACUCUGAGUUAGACUCGGAGUCAUCUUCUUCUUCAUCAUCGUCUUCAUCUGAAGAAGAAGAAGAUGGGGCAGUUUCGACUUCGGAAGAUGCCAUUUAUGGCCAAAAAGACGAGCCCAAGUUUGAUUUAAUGAAAUCAAUGCUACGACAAGGUUACACUCAAUCCAACAGCUCAAUAUCAAAGCUUGAAGAAAAAAAUAUUGAAAUGGAGAUUGCAACUAAUAAGCCUAAGAGUAAGAUUGAUAUGACCAAUGCGAACAAAGAGAGUGCUGAAUUGAAAAAGGAAACAAAGGUUUCAGUUUCUGUAGGCGCUGCUGCUGAUGGUGUGGAGGUGAAAGGGAUAGAGGGGCCAAGGUUCAGGGAUUUAGGUGGGAUGGGAGGAGUGUUGGAGGAGUUGAAGAUGGAAGUCAUUGUGCCUCUUUACCAUCCACAUUUGCCACGGUGGUUGGGAGUCAGGCCAAUGGCUGGCAUUUUGCUCCAUGGACCGCCUGGCUGUGGGAAGACCAAAUUGGCCCAUGCCAUUGCCAAUGAGACUGGUGUUCCCUUCUAUAAAAUUUCAGCUACCGAGGUGGUUUCUGGUGUCUCAGGUAUUCGCCUUCUGUUAUAAGUCGUGCUGCUGAAUAUGAUAAUUAGGCUGAGCAUGAUUCUUGAAGUUGUUGUGUAGAGUUUGGAUAAAUGAAAUUAUUUCGUUAACAAUGAUGGGAAGCUUUAGUAAAGGCAAUGUGUUUGCUAAUAGUUUAUAGUUUCAUAUUUAAUUUCUCAGGUGCAUCAGAAGAAAAUAUCAGGGAACUCUUCUCAAAAGCAUACAGGACUGCCCCAUCGAUUGUAUUCAUUGAUGAGAUUGAUGCUAUUGCAUCUAAAAGAGAAAAUCUGCAGAGGGAGAUGGAGCGCCGGAUUGUCACUCAGUUAAUGACUUGUAUGGAUGAGUCUCAUGGACUUGUGCAACCAAGUGAUAAAGAGUCAAAUUUGGAGAGCUCUGAUUCCAAACCUGGUUAUGUCCUUGUAAUUGGAGCUACCAAUAGACCUGACGCUGUUGACCCUGCACUACGGCGGCCUGGACGAUUUGAUCGCGAGAUUGUUCUUGGUGUUCCGGAUGAAAAUGCUAGGCAUGAGAUCCUUUCUGUGCUUACACUAAACCUUAGACUCGAAGGCUCUUUUGAUCUUUGGAAAAUAGCUAGGGCUACACCAGGGUUUGUUGGAGCAGAUUUGGCUGCCUUGGCUAACAAGGCUGGUAAUCUUGCCAUGAAGAGGAUCAUAGACCAAAGAAAGCAUGAGUUUUCUAGAGAAUCUAUAGAUGAGGAACAAGCUGAUGAGUGGUGGAGGCAGCCUUGGUUGCCUGAGGAGAUGGAAAAGCUCACCAUUACCAUGGCUGAUUUUGAGGUAAUUAAAGCUAAACUUUUUUCUUUUCAUUUAUUUAUAUGAUUAAAAGUAACCUGACAUGUAUGCUUAGUGGCUUACAUGUGUUCUAUGCUAUUAUCUGCAUGUCUGUCAAUGCCAUAGAUAUCAAAGUUGUUUGGGAAAUGAAUUUGUAUUGUCAUUUCUAGAUUCAAUUUUACUACUUGCAAGUUUCUCUUUGACUGCUAUGUGAUAUAGUUUAAUUGCCAUGAUUAAGAGUUCUAAUGAACUAUAGAGUUACACUUGAUGUUUUUAUAAUAGUUUGAAACAAAGGUGUUGUUUUUCUGUAUCUGUUAUACAGAAGUAAUUCCUUCACAUUAGAAAGUUUUAUAUGAAACUUAUGCCCUUUGUUUAUGUAUUUGCUUACUUGAUCAUGCCCCUUUCUUUUUCUCUUUUUUAUAAAGAAAUUGAAAAAUGUUUUACCUGCAGGAAGCAGCUAAAAUGGUUCAACCCUCAUCAAGAAGAGAGGGAUUCUCUACAAUUCCAAAUGUUAAGUGGGAGGAUGUUGGUGGUCUUGAUUUCCUAAGGCAGGAAUUUGACCGUUACAUAGUUAGGCGCAUAAAAUUUCCCGAGGAUUAUGCGGUAAUUAUAGAUAGUAGCUACCUCUUUAUUCUCUCUCUCUCUCUCUCUCUCUCUCCUGUUCCAAAAGGGUUAAGAAUAGACAUAAAAAAUAGAAAUGAUUUAAAAGGAGUAGGAUUAGCCUUCUUAACAUGGUAAAUGGAAGGAAGCCAACCAUGGAAAAAUUGGUUAGAAUGUUUGAAACAUGUCUUACAUGGUCUCCAACUUUGUUGACUUGCAAGCUCAGCAUAACUACAAUCUAGGCCCAUAUAUACUUUGUCAGUCAGAUUGCUAUUAUAAAAUGUGCUUUUCAAAUCUUUGAAUUAUUCACAAUGUCAGGAAUUUGGAGUGGACUUGGAGACAGGAUUUUUGCUUUAUGGACCACCAGGCUGUGGUAAAACAUUGAUUGCAAAGGCUGUCGCUAAUGAGGCUGGAGCCAAUUUCAUUCACAUCAAGGUCAGUCUGCAGCGUAUAUUUCCUCUUGAUUCCAAUUUCUUGUUCACUUUUUGUUUGUUAAAGAUGAUGUUAACUGGUACUUCAAUGCUGUAAGCUAAUUUUUCUAUGUUUGUGUUGCAUUAAACUCUUAACGAUUAUGAGUGCACUUGCUGAUUAGGGUCCUGAACUUUUGAAUAAAUAUGUUGGAGAAAGUGAGCUGGCAGUGCGGACAUUAUUCAGCCGUGCUAGGACAUGUUCACCAUGCAUACUUUUUUUUGAUGAGGUUUGUGGUUCUCUAUUUUUCCAUUUCUAAAUGAAAGAAACAAUUCUGGAGAAAAUAUUACUACUCCUAGUGUCUUGAGAUUUGAUAUUUUUGACGUCUUUCUGAUAAUGUGUAGGUGGAUGCUUUGACCACAAAGCGUGGAAAAGAGGGGGGAUGGGUUGUUGAGCGACUUCUGAACCAGGUUAGAUAAUCUAUAAUGGUGAUCUCUUAACAAACUCAUGAUCAACUUUUUUAUCUUGUCUGUAUAACAAAUUUUCAAAUUGCAAAGAAUGACAUGGAAGCAUUGGUCAUAAUUGCAGUUACUGAUAGAGUUAGAUGGUUCGGAUCAGCGGCGUGGAGUAUAUGUUAUUGGUGCCACUAAUAGGUAGAAUCUGUUGUUUCCAGUUUUUGAACGAGGAUCACCGUUUAUCUUUUCUUUACUCUGUUUGGUUUUGGCAGACCUGAGGUGAUGGAUCGUGCUGUCUUACGGCCUGGUAGGUUCGGCAAACUUCUCUAUGUCCCUCUCCCCAAUCCAGUUGAACGUGGGUUGAUCUUGAAAGCUCUUGCUAGGAAGAAGCCAAUAGAUGCCAGUGUCGAUUUGAGUGCCAUUGGACGUAUGGAGGCAUGUGAUAAUUUAAGUGGAGCUGAUCUUUCUGCACUGGUAUGCCCGCAAUUUGUUUUUUUGCUUGAGUGAAAGUUAAAGAUUGAAAACAUCUUCUGAAACCUUUUGUGGGGCUGGGUUUGCUGCAUUGCUUCAUCGGUAUGCUUGGAGAUCAAUGUCCAUUAACUGCCAUUAGGAAACAACUAACAGAAUUUCUUUCUUUCUUUUCUUUUUGCUCCUUUCGACAGUAUCCAACCAUGUAUACAUAGAAGCCUCGUUCUACAUUAAAGUCCUAGAAAGGACUGGUUUUUCCCUGAAAGACUAAUUUACAUUUUUGAUGUUUCCUCAUUAAAUACUAGACAUGUUAAGGCUAGCCCAGAAAGUAAAAUACUUUGCAAAAGAACCCCUGAUCUGUUUCAUGAUUCUAGACUUGAGCUAUGCCCCUUGUGUGCAUUGUACUUCUAGAAGAACUUAAUCAAAAUUGUAAAAAUUUUAAUCAAAAUUGGGCUUGAAAAUAUUCAGAUGAAUGAAGCUGCAAUGGCUGCUUUGGAAGAGAAACUCACAUCAACUGGGAUCUCAGAUACUUCAUGGACAAUCAAGACAUUCCAUUUUGAACGAGCACUGAGUAAAAUCUCACCCUCAGUCUCCGAUAAGGUAUAUUUUACCUUCACUCACUCAAUUAUGGCUUCUGACGAAUAGAUUCUUGAUAGCAUUGACUAUGUAAAUCUGUAAUUACCCUAUUUUUAAUAUCUUGAUCAUCUGGGAACAGCAAAAGCAGUUCUACCAGGCAUUGUCAGAGAGCUUCAAAGCAGCUUGAGAAGAGACAAAUCCCCUUUGUUAUACCAUUAGCAGGAGCUGUAAUUGAUGUCUGAUACUGAGAAUUGCAUUGCAAAGAAGUCAUUCUCAACAUGAAGAUGGGUGUGAAUUGUUCAACUGUACUCUGUUUAUAUGCUUUUUUGGGCCUAAUAUUGAGUGUUGAAGGAAACUUGCUUCUCUCCUCAUGAGCGAAAAAAAUUUUGUUCCGGCACAUUAAGAUUUUGUUAGUGGUGGAAGUAGUUUGCAGAAAAUACAGCGGAGAAACAUGUAUUUAUCCAUUUUAAGAAAUGCAAGGGGACUUGUUGUAUUAGUUCACCCCUUUUGAGUAAAGGUUCCACCUCAUAAACUACCCUUUUUCCUUUGUUUCGAUCAGGAAAAUUGAAGACAAUUUGACUGCUGAAUGUGGCAUUCUUUUCUGCUGUAUGAAGAACUUGAUAUACCUGUGUAGAUUUAGCUCUAUUUUGAAAAGCUUGAUGUGGCUGUAUAAUUGGAAGUCCAAAGCCAAGGUUGGCCCUAGAAUCGAAUGUUAACACCUAGCCCAGUGGUCAGUCAGCUCCUCCAUUGCAAAGAGAAAGAGGAGAAGGAAGAAAUCACGGUAUGACCGUGAAAGCUGCCCAAAUCAACAUCAUGUGUCCCAAAAUCAUGCAAAGUGGAAAUUGCAAUUGCUAGGCAAACAUAAUUGGCCCGCGGCCUCGGCUCACAAGGAACAUGAUGCAUCAUGUUCAGCCAUGAGAUAGAACGUGAUUGUCUCCGGUCAUUUGCUUUGCUCCAUUAUUGCAUACGUGAUGUGAUGGCUGCCUUCGCAAUUAAUGUAACACUUUUUUUGUUUUAGGUAUUCAAAUGGUACAUUAUAAUUUUUUUAAAUAAUUAAAUAAUUAAUUCCUAAACAAUAAUCAUUCCAUCACUUUUUAAUUUUAUGAUACUAAAUUUAAUAUCACAUCAAUACAAUAAAUUAUCAUAUCAAUAUAAAUAGUGAAAAUUUUUACUACGUUAAUGAUUGGAUUGAUAUUAUUAAUUUUAAAAAAUAUAAAAAUUCAACUUUUACAAACUAUUAUAUAAAAAUUAAAUCUACUACUUUAACAACAUACAAGAACUAAUUACGUUAUUUGACGUUUUUUUACUCAUAUAUAAAUUGAGAUUAUAAAAAUAAAAAUAAUGCUUUCUUAUUUCAAGAUUCAAAAAUGAGAUUUUUAAAUCAUAAAUAUCUCGUUGAAAAUUAACAUUACAAAUUGACCCUAAUAUUUGUCCUUCUCUCUUGACUCAGAGUAAGGGUGGAUCCAUGUUGACACAAGUGAUGUCAUAUGACACCAUUGAAAUGUUAAAAAUUUAUACUAAUUACAUUACUUAUAUCAAAGUUUUUAUAUAAUUAAUAAUAUUAAUACACUUAUUAAUUAUUUUAAUUAUUAAUAUUAUUAUUUUAAUUAUGAUACUAUCCGCGUUUCUUACUGGAAAUGAGAGAAAUCUUUCGAAUACAGCAAAAGUUCUCAUAAUGAAACCCAGCCCCACGACCAUGACAGGUAUAAGCAAAACAACCCACUUGUCCGGCUCAUUUAGCUGAUUUAGACAGAAAGAGCGGACACCUGCCCUCCCUACGAGAUACCAACUGCUCAGAAUUCAGAACUUGUUCAAGAACUGACCUUCCCAGAACUUGCAAAACCCAGAUACUUACUGUCCCAAAAGACACAUGACCCUCUAAAAAUGUGACAAGUUGACUCUAUUGUUGGGGCAAUUAAAUGUUGCCCACUCCACCUGUCAGUAUAAAUACAAAGAGACAAACAACCACACUGAUUCCAUACUUAAAUUGGAUGGUAGCUUCAUAAUCAAGUGAAGGAUUUGUUUAAACCCUGCAACGAAAACACAGAAGAAAAAUGAUCUUAUUAUAGACUGAAAUUUUUGAAUUUGACCAAUGUGUAAGAUUGUCACAUAUUUAUUAAAUUAUAGUUAACAUAUCAAUAAAUUAAACUAAUUACUAAAUAGAUACGAACUAAAAUUUUCACUAUCAUCUAUCGAUGUAUCAAAAUAAUAAUUCAAAAUAUAAUAUCUCUAAUGAUUCAGUUAUACACACAACCAGACGGCAUUCCAUCGAAAAGGAAAAAUAAAGGAUAUGUUUUGUCCUAGAUAUGAACUAAUCUUAACAUUUCUUAUUUGGAUUCCAUGUGACAUAAGAUGAGUCAAAAUAAUUAUAUUACUUGGGAAAUUAAAUGCUUGGACUUUCUGAGACAGGACAUUGGAAUAAACCAAGAGGCUCAUGAGCUCUCGAGUCCUCCAUGAAUGAAUGGUUUGCAAAACGCCAAAUGUUUAGGUCCAGGCCAGCAGGCUGCCUGCUACCAUGGAACUCCUAUUUUGACUGCUUAAUAUAUUCUAUUUACUAUAAACUUUUUGCCAUUCAAAAAGUUCCUUAAGCUUGAAUGAGUUACAUCUUCUACAAUUUGGACAAUAAAAAUGAAUGUUCAGAAUUUCGAGUUUAGAAAGAGAUUAUCUCUUAUUACGUGAAUUCUAAUGGGUCUCGAUGUAUAAUUAAAUAUCACAUAGUUUUAAGUUACAAAUUUGAGCUUAAAAAAAUUAAUGAAAAGUUAAAGAGAGAAAAACAUUGGAAGAUGGGCAGAGUGAUGAUGAAGACUUUUGAUUAAUUAUUAGUUGAAAAAGUCCAAAAGAGUGAGGUCCCAGCAGGAGCGUACUGCUGGGGCAAGGAUAAUAUUGUUUUGCCAUUAUGCGUAUUGGCCUUAUAAUUUUCCCAAGUCACAAUCGUACGUCUCCUAACGCUAGUUCACUGCCAGCAUUGGAAGAUUGGAAGUUUCGCUGUCAGGGCCAUGGCUGCCUUUUCACUCAGCUGGCCGGUCUGAUAUUUUGUUAUUUAUUUCCCAAUUUUAUCUCUAUAUAUCUCACAUGUUAGAUUGAUUCCCCAUGAAGCUAAUGCUUGUAAGGGAUGCCAUACACGACUUUCUUCUUUAAGUAAAGCAUUAUCACAUAAAAAUAUGGGGAAAUGGUUGCUAUCUUCUUGUAUGUUUUGGUUGAGGCCCAAAUUAAGUUGAUAAUUACCUUUGUCUUAAUUUCAGAAUUAGUAAUGUUGGGAAAACAGAAAGAGAACAAUGGAUUGUUUUUGGAUGAAUUGUUGAAUGUCGGUAACUAUAAAUUUGUGAAAGUUGUAGUUGUGGAAUUAUAAAGGGCUCUAAAAGUCGUCCAAACUUAUUUAGUUACCAAUUAAUAUUAGUGGAACCCUACUUGACAAGAUGCUAUGAAUGACUUGCAAUUGUCUGGGUCUUAUACACUAAGUUGAACGCUGAGGUGCCCACAGAUUUAAGUCUAAAGCUAAAUUAGUCUAAAGCUAUGCUGAGUUUGGGGUCCACCCCAAAUUAGUAAAAAUUAGUAAAAACUCUCUAAAUAGACGAAAUCUGGCCUACUUUUAAUCUUUUUUAUAUGGUAGAAAUGUAUUAAGAGAGGGAAAAAAAAGAGAGAAAAACAUGAAUUUUUACAACAACUUAUUUAAAAAAAAUGAUGUUAUGAUAUUUAGAUCAUACGUACAUAAACGCAUAAAAUGACACUUUAAUGAUUAAAAUUAAAAAUUUUCAAUUCAAAUUCUAUGAUAAAAUUUAUAUUUUAUCAUAUGUAUAAAAUUUGAGAUAUAUAAAUUUAUAAUUUUAUAUGAUUACUCUUUAAUUACUUUUUUCACAAAAUUUUAAACCCAUCUCAAGAGAAGAUUAACUGUUUAUAUAAUCCUGAAUUAUAUGUGCUACAGAGGGUGCGGGUGAAACAAGAGCAGCGCAAUGAGAAGGCAAAAUUGAAGUAGACUUCUCUCUCUUAUAGAAAAGGAGGAGAAGCCACCGAACACGUGCUCAGUAAUUGGCUGUCCUUUCUCUCGUAAAUGACCCCAAUGCCACAUGCAAGUCUUUGCCCAAUUUUUGUUGUUUAACAAUCCCAAUAGUCCCCCAUGAUAGCAAUGGCCAAAGCGAUCAACGUCACCACUUGUAAUUCACAAAGGAGUUUACAUGCAUCGCCACCUCCAUUUUCGUCUUGCUUUUCCUCCCUGUACAAUUUUGGAGGUUGUAAAAAUCACUUCCUUUCAAGUACAAGGCGUGGAAGAUAAGUCUUUGCAAAUUUUUUAUUUCUUUGGUUUUUUGUACGAUGGAUAAGGUUUGCAUAAUUCUUUAAUUGCUCCUUUGCUACACUAUAGUUGGUUGUUGGCUUGUUGCUAAUCAUCCCUCUAAUCUUACAAAAAAUUAUUGAACACACAUCAUGAAAACUACGGAGUACGGACAAAUUUUCUUUAAUUUUUAACUUCAAGAAAGUUCACAUAUAUUAUAUAGAAAUUUUCUGUCAAAUCUUGAUACAUCACUCACUUAUGUAAAAAAAUUUGGUUAACUGACGGAGGUCUAUAGGCAUUGGCUGAAGAUAGUUUUAAAAAAAUUCAAUUAAUAUGAUAUUUUCGUCAGAUUCAUGAUGGAAAAUGCAUUAGUUAUAAUUUUUUUUUAAAAAAAAAUAUUACAUUAGUUGGUGCCAAGAGGAAUCUAUUACUAUUUUUCAUAAAAUUUUUGCUCUUAUAGUGACAUCUUAAAAAAAUUGAAUCACAUAGAAAUGUACUCCUUGUGGUACUGUCAAGUUCAGUGUUGACAAUUCAAUGAAGUGCAGCCCAAGAGAGACAGGAAUUGGUGACCGGCUUCACAAUUCAAUGAAAACCUAUUGGUUAUGUUGAUUCAAACCUUAUUGAGUUACUUGCUACUAUAGAAGUUUUUGUUAUUCUUGUUGUUUUUAAAUGAGACAAUUUUUAUCUUAAUUGAUUGAAAAUGAUUAAUCAAAUGCAGUUGACUGAAUGUUAAACUCCCAAACUUUUUUUUGGAGUCUAGAAAUUUUCUCCUACAAAUUAAAUAUUUAAAAUAUCAGAUGAAUAGUUGAAAAAUACAACAUAUUUUCUUAAUUGCAAGUAAAUUGACUGAUGGCUUAUUAUGACACUCUUCGUCAACAAAAGUUGUUGAUGGUGAUUAGUUAAAUUGUUGAUAUAUAUACGUAUUAGAAAUUUUUGUAAUUGUUUUGUUCUUAUUAAUUAUGUACUGGUUUGCUCCAAUACAUAUUAAUAAAGAAUCAUAUGCUUUUCCACACAAAAAAAAAAAAGGGUCAAUUACAAAAAUAUGUAUGAAUUAGGGUAAAUUACAUGCAUAAAGUUCUUGCAAAGUUAACAAGCAAAACAAAUGACUUUUUUGGAAACCUUUCAUUUAGAGAUGUAACUAUCAGCUAGAAAAUUCCAUAGUGACAUUCGAACAUCGUUAUCCUCUUCUCCAUUUCUUCUUUUAUUGAUCCGUUUGAUUAAAAUGUUUUGCAUGUGGCUAGGCAUGUAAGGUGAAAAGAAGGUUUGAACUGAUAUCACGAGAAUGUAGACAAAGUCUAUAUGGCCGUUUCGUCAUGUUGAAACUAGGGCUACGUUCUACAUUUUUUUAUUCCUAAGUAACUCUUUUGACAUGAGAAGGGUUGACAAAGCAUGCUGUUGAAAAUUGACAUGGAAGUAAUCGAUAAUUGAUAUUGAACAACUGUCGGUGAGAAACAAGGAAUAUUGUGAUAUAUAUAUAUAUACAUAUGGAGGAUCCUAUGACAAGGUAAAUUGUUAAUUUUCUUGCCCAAGGCCAAUGGUCAAGAAAACAAGUGUUUCUGUUGAUAUAGAAAGCCACUCACGUCAAUUCGUCCUUCAUUUUGUUUUUUUUUUUUGGGGUUAGUUUUCUGAUUAUUUUUAUUACAUAUAUAAAAGCAGCAAAACUCAUAAUUAAGAAGCACAAGCCGAGCAAUUAAUCUCUGAAAAUAGAUUUAAGGAUUUGUAUUUUCGUAUCUUAAUUUGUGUCUUAUAAAACAUAAAUUAUUAACAAUUAUAUAAAUAAAUACAAAUACAAAAUGAUUAAUUAAUUUUUUUAAUUUUUUUUAAAAUAUAUAUAUUAAAUUGUCAAAUUUUAAAUCAUAUCGAUACAAUUAAUACACAAAAUAAAAUUAAUUUAAUCAAAAUCCGUUUAAAUAUGUGUCAUGAACUUACGCAAAAUUGUCAAAGACUACCUAAAACCAUAAUGACAGCUCUCUCGCGUCAGGUUAACCACUAGAUUAGAAGAGGGUUCGCAUCAGAGACAAGUUAAUCCGUACAGGAAUUAGCUUCACAAAAAAACAUGCUUCAGUUCACAUUGCCACUCCUAGAAAGAGGAAAGCUAUGGAGAUGGUUGUUAAUUUCAUCAGAAGAUAAAACAAGUAAUUCGGGACAAAAUAUACAGAGAGAGAGAGAGAAUUCGGAUGAUAUAUGAAAUUUAAUAGUAAAAAAUAUUCCUUCUAAUUGAAAGACAUAAAUAGAUCAAGUAAAAGCGACAAUAGCUUAAUUCUCAAGAGCCCACAACGUGCAAGACCAAAUCUACAGAAGACAAAGACGUGACGAAGAUUUUCUCCAUGAUUUUUCAAUAAUUUCAAAUAUAGCUAUAAUUAGGGUGGAGUGACUGUUAACAGCCAUAGACUUUUUUUAAGCAAAUUUGACAAAAAUCAUAAAUGAAAAAAAUUUAAUUAGGCUUAACUUGCUGCCAGCUACUAGUUAUGAAUCACACGAAAGACUGACAGUGAUAUCAACUUUUUUUUUAAAAUAUAUAUUUUUUUUAAUUUUCAAGUUGGAUAAGUUUCGAAGUGUGACCAAGUGUCCAAACUUUGGCCAAAAGCCUUCACUUCGCUGGACUGUCGUUUUCCUUAUUUUGGCCUUGGGGUUGGUGGCAUGUUGAUCAUCGAAGCUUAAUUUUCAGGUCAAAAAAUGUGCAUACAUUCUCUCCUUGCCAGAUGCCCAUGUCCCAAAACUAUUAAUUAAUUCUCUAACAAAGGACAUUAUCCCUUUCUUUUGCCUUUUCUUUCUUAAUUUUGUUGUUUAAAGUAAACAUGACUUACCUAAUCAGUAAUCCUAGUCUACAUUGAGUUCCUGCUGAACUUACUGUACUUACGUGUUCACCGAGACAAAAGUCAAUUCAAAAGGCAAAAUAUUUUUAAAAAUUUAAAUAAAAUUUAAUUAUUUUAUUAUAUUUAAUUAAAAUUUUAUAUUUUUAUUUUAAAUUAAAUAAAUUUUUAUAAUUAACAGUUGAUUCAUUCUAACCCAUAAGAUAUAAAUGAUAAAUAAAUUUUAAUUACCAACCGUUCGUUAAUGUUAGUUAUAGGAAUUUUAUUGAUCGAUAAUAAAAAUAUAAAAAUUUAAUUGAAGAUAAUAAAAUAAUAAAAAUAAUUUAAAUUUUCAUAAAUGAUUUAAGAAUUUUUUUUAAAUAUUAUGUCUUAUCUUAAUGAAUUUUUUGUUGUGAAUUUAUAAGUUACCAAAAAAAUUGUAUAAAAAGUGCACUACAUUAAUAAGUAUCUAUUCCAUUUAAAUUUUAAUGACAUACAUUCAUAUAUCGUUUUAAAUGAUAUAAUAAUUCAAAGAAAAUGUAACAGAUCAAUCUCUUUAAUUAAUCAACACAAAAUUUUUUAUAUUAAAGGCUAGAUCCAGAAGGUCUUAAAAAAGGACAAUUUAAUGUCAAGAUUUUAAGGCAGAAUCAUAGAAAUCUUGAACGUGUAUAUCAAGAAAUAAAAAUCUAGCAAUACUUUUAAAACGUGCACCUCAUACAGCUGCCCAAUAUAAACCCUAUUUCUCGUAUUUAAAAACUUCACACAAAACCUCAAAUUUAUUUAUUUUUCUUUAUUUUUUGCUGUAAUCCAUGCUGAAGAUAUUAUUAUGCAUAUACUAAUAUAUUACCAGGAAUACAGCAUUGUCGGUCAUUAAACAAAAAAAAAAUUGAAGGGAUUAAAAGCCACCUCCCCCACAUUGCAAAGUGUAAUUAAUUGCAUGUACAAUUAAAAGAAGGACAAAUUGGGAAACAAUGAAUAAAACAAUAAACUUUAUAUUAUAUGGCCGAUUUAUUAGCUGUUAGCGGCGGCUGGCUCUUUUGGCUGGGCAUGCCAAUUAUGUGCAUCCAGUCAAUAUGAAAGGAAAUGGGAUCAAUACCCAUUAAUGAAUAAGGUAUCAACAUUUUUUUUAUGAUAAUUAAUUUGAUGCAUUUUUCUUUGGUUGUACUUGGAAAAUUGUUCUCUUCUGGCACGUUCUAGGAAAAACAGUAACCAUUGGAUUCAAAUUGGAUAAAUAAACUUUCUCUAAUCCCCACCAAAAUGUUGUUUAGGUUAGUGAUUUUAGAACAUAAUUAGGUUAAAUAUAAUACUAAAUUUUGUGAUGGAUGACACUUUAAAUUGCAAUCAAACUAAUUGAUUGAACUCGAAUUCCCUCUUCUCAAUCGAAAAAAUAAAUAAAUAAAAUAAAAAUGUGAUGCGAUGAAACGAAAUUAAUAAGUGUCAUUAAUCAAAGGCAAAAAUCGUAUCGAAGAUCACUGCCAUGCAUGUGAGUAGUCGUGGGGGACAAUGCUUAAUUGAUUUGAUGCUGAUAUGUCGAUCCAUCAAGGGCCAAUAAUAUUCCUUUGAAUUAUUAUUGUUUAAUGAUUGUUUUAAUUAAACGUUAAUUCAUCGAGAAAGCAAUAAACGUGGAGGGUCACAUAGUUUUGUCCUGUUUGUUUUACGAGAAAAUUUUUGCUGUCCUCUUAUAAGCACAUGAGUUUAAAUACUUGUUUGGAACAAAUGGGAAGACCCAAAACAGCUUCUUCCAUGUUUGCAUCGGCAUCAAUAAAUCAAGGAGGUUUAGCCUUAAUAGCUAAUAGACCAAUCAAAGAUACAUCAAAGACUAUAAACAGUUGAUAUGAUUAUUCAAAGACCAAAGCCAAUAAUUGUUUCUAUUGACAAAUAGCUCUCUUUCCAUGUAAACCAAUGAUUUCUACUUAAAUACAGCUCACGUAUACAUAGAAAACUAUGCAUCAAACGUUUAUUUUACAUCUUAAAUUGGAGAGAAUCUCUUUAUCAUCAAGUUGAUCUCAACCGUACACCAGUUGAGCUAAGCCUGAGGAUUAAUAAUUCUGCAGUGUCCUUGACUUCUGGAAGCUCAUGAUAAAUAAAAACAAAAAUCAUUCCAGAGCAUAGAAGCUGCCAGAAGAUGAUUCACACAGGGGCCGGUCACUUUGUAAAGUGCAAACAGUACGUCAUGAUGUAAUAAAAACCCCAAAAUUGCUUAGAACAAGAUGUGCAGAAAGGGCUAGAACUGAUUCAUGAUACAUUUUGCAGAAAGGAAAGAAAAAAGGGGGAAGAAGAACCCGACAGUGUUAGGUGAGGAUCACUUGAGUGUUUAAUUAUACAAGCUGUGCCAAGUGGCUACCCAAAAUUGAAAUGUUAGUGAGGAGAACUUAGAUGUAAGUGGUCCUUUGAUGACUUCAACAUGGAUAGUUACUAAAUUUUGUAGUCUUUCUUUAUAUUUGCCCCUUGGUUACUCCAUGAAUCCUACAUUAUAAGCAUUUGAAAAGGACAAGUUUUCCACCAUUUUAAUUCCUCCAUUCUACUGUUUUCUUUUUUUCCUCUUGUUUACUGUCUUCCACUAACCUAGCCUGUAUACCCUGUCUGUUCUUUCUAAUCCUUCCUCCAAAGGCAAUCAUAACAAAAAGUAGAAGCAAAAUUAUAUAAGAUAAUGUUUCCAUAUUCCUUUACCCUUUGGCCCCAACAACUCAACUCUACCUUUAACACACUCUGAAUUAGACUUUUCAAUGGUGUUACUUUACACGGCAUUGACUGUGUUAUAGAAAAACAGGGGAGAUAUGAUCUUAGGAUAUGAAAAAAAUGGCUUGAUUUGCUUCUCUCUCUUUUUUUCUUUUAUUUGUUCUCGACAAAGGGGGAUUUUAUUUAUGAAUGACAUGACUGACUUGAUCUAGAUUUGUGUCCUAACCACAUUACUUUAAAAAAAAAUUAGGCUUAAUUACUGUGACAGAGCAUUAAUUGUCCAAUUUCUUCAUUAUCAUAUUGAUCACAAUCUGACAGCUAAUUUAUGCAACAAUUAAAACUAGUUGAGAGUACCCUGAGAAGUUGACUUUCAGGCUCAUGAGGCCUGCAUUUUUCACAAUCUAGAUAGAAAUUAAGAAAAAAAAAAUUGGAGAUAUAUGGAGUAUUACAUAUAUGCUUUGUCUCAAAAUACAAGAAAUCGAUUAAUCUAUCUAUCAAAAAUGGAUUUGAAUUUGUCAAAAUACUGAUAUAAAUGACACUAAACACAAAACCCAGAAUAAAUUUAUGGAAUUGAAGUAAAUUUGAACAGGUUUUUGAGGGUGGUCCAAAAAGAGGAAGUAGCUGAUUAUAGGACAGCGGGGACAAGGCUGCUCGUGUUCUGAGAAACUUGAAUUAUUAUUUCUUGCACGAAAAUGAAAUUCAACUCAACAUAAAGUAUUAUUUCAUUUUUUUUCUCUCUCUCUCUUUUAACAACUUUUUUUUUUGUUUCUCUUUGGUGUGUAGCUUAAAUUUCCUGCAAAAGCUGCGGGGCCACCUGAUUCAAUUUCACAUGCCCCUGCGUCAUGAUUGAGAAAUCACAUGGAACAUGAGAAACCGAUAGAAAAAUUUAAAGCCUUCCAAUCAGUGAAUGGAGGGUGGGUAUAGACGUGCCAUUGUUUGCCAUAAACGUGCAUGUUUUGAUGAAUAAAAAAAAUUAGCCAGAAAUUGCACCGAAACCAGAAAAAAAUUCUAGAUAAUAACAGAACAGGUGGCCUGAAUCAUAGCUCUUCUGUAAUUUACUUGCAUGGUAAUAUGAACUGUCCGUCUUCCGACUUCGAUCCCUAUAUUCUGCUUCGGAUUUAUAGAGUUUUGGGGUUUUAUACAUUUUUGUGAACAAGGAUUUGGUGACUUUUCUGACAUCAUUGUUGAAAUUUGAUAUUCAUCAGAGGUUAAAAACUGAAAAAGGAAUAUUGGAAGCUGUCCAUGUGCAUGAAGGUAGGAUUAGCCGUUGGAUAAUGAAGGAAUAGACAUGAUCAAAAGGGUAGGAAUGUGCCACGAUUUACCUCAGCAAAUUCGUGGUCAAGUCAGUAUAGAAUUCCAGGCCAUCGUAGGCAAAUAAGCAGCGGCAGCAGCAAGCAGCCCUCUUUUUUUUUUUUUUUUUUCUGUUUUUCUACAUUUACUUUUGUUUCGUUUUUUCGUCAAGUUGUUGGGGGAUUUUUGAAUUAUUCUAUGGCUCUUACUGUUCCUGAAAAGAUGGUGGAAAUGGGAAAUUAAUAGACAAGAAAGAAUUGAAAAUAGAGAGGUGGAAGUGUUAAAUAAAUGAGCCCAGGUAAAUAGUAAUUUGAAAGAUAAAAAGUUGUUUAUACUUACUAUUAUACGAUGUUACAUUAAAUGAGCAGUUGGAGAUUUGUUCUGGGGUGAUCAUGGGGGAGGAAUCCUGAUGAUCUAAACCAGAACCUGAAUAAAAAAUUGAUCUAAGCCAGCUACAGAAAACCCCAUUUGCUACAUUAAUCUAAUCAAUCAAUAUUGAAUUGGUCCCUUCUGACAGCUCCCCAUCAACGACUACUUUCUGCUAUAUAUAAUCUCCGUUUCAUGCAGGCUUUUAUCUCAGCCGACACCCACCAAAAACAAAACCACCUUCGCCCCCCUCCCUCCUUCCUUUUCUCUUCCGAACAGGGAAACUCCUGCACAUUGCCAGAGGGUGGUGUUCCUCAGUGAUCAUCGAUGACAGGUCCGCGGGCCGACCCGGUGAGGGGUCGGUUUUGGCCCCAAGUGUUAGUGGCCUUGGCCAUUGUUGUUGUUGCAAGCAAUGUAGGUUCAGUGUCUGCAGAUGCUUAUCCAUACUCAUCACCUCCUCCACCUUAUGAGUACAAGUCACCUCCACCGCCAUCUCCUUCUCCACCACCACCAUAUGAGUAUAAAUCUCCACCACCACCACCACCUUAUGAGUACAAGUCCCCACCUCCACCAUCUCCAUCACCACCUCCUCCAUACCACUACCACUCUCCACCACCACCAAAGCAUGAAGAAAAACCCCCGUACUACUACAAAUCUCCACCACCUCCAUCCCCAUCCCCACCUCCUCCAUACUAUUACGAGUCUCCACCACCACCAAAACAUGAAGAAAAACCACCAUACUACUACAAGUCUCCUCCACCUCCAUCUCCAUCACCACCUCCUCCAUACUACUACAAGUCUCCACCACCACCAAAACAUGAAGAAAAACCCCCAUACUACUACAAGUCUCCUCCACCUCCAGUAAAGCCUCCACCAAAACCAUAUUAUUAUAAAUCUCCUCCACCACCAUCUCCUUCACCACCUCCACCUUACUACUAUAAGUCUCCACCACCACCUUCACCAUCUCCUCGACCUCCUUACUACUACAAGUCUCCACCACCUCCUCCACAUUACGUCUCACCACCAUACUAUUAUAAAUCUCCACCACCACCAGCUAAAUCUCCUCCUUACUACUACAAUUCUCCCCCACCACCAGCUCCUUAUUACCCUGCCCCUCACCCUUAUCCCCACCACCAUCCACUCAUAGUCAAGGUGGUUGGUAAAGUUUACUGCUACAGAUGCUAUGACUGGGGAUAUCCAGUGAAGUCACACGACAAGAAACAUCUUAAAGGUAAAAUUCUUUCAACUUUCCCAAUUUUCUAGCACUAUCAAACCUUAGUUCAUUAUCAUUCACCACAAAAAAAAAAAGCAAAAACAUUUUAGAUCAUUCUUAUUUCACAUUUUCUUUUUCAUUAGCUGGACUUUCACUUUGUUAAUUUCAAAUUUUUGUAGCACUUUGUCAUCUGCUUUAGAAGUUAAAAUAAAGGUAGCAAGAUCUUUACAAUAUUUUAAUUUAGAAGACCUAAAUCUAACAAUUGAAAGGAAUCAGAAUAUAUUCUUGUGGUAACAAAUUUAAUUUAAAAAACUGAAUAGGCUAAGAAAGAAAACAAAGAUUUUCUUUGUUUCUUAAUUAUAUGUUAAUUUGUAUCUAAAUUAAAACAACCCUUUUCUAUGAUAUAUAUAAUAUUAUAGUUUUGUUGAUAAUAAUAUAGUAUAUUAUUUGGGUUAGCUCAAUUAAGGAAAGAGUAAAUGAAAUGAAUAUUUUAUAUUCAAACCAUAUACUUUUAUUAUUUAAAAAAUAGGCUUGGUUGAAUACAAGCUCUCUUUGCCCAUUUUGUUGUGCAGUAUAGAUUAAGUUGCAAUCUUGGAGGAAAAUAAAGUUGUCCUGAUUAAGGGUUGCACUAAUUACAAUUGGAAUUAACGUAUCAAAUGCCUUAUUGAAAGUUAAAAUAAAUAUAAUUAUAUUAAUUCAUGAAAAGACGAAAUUAGUUAUUAAAGUUAGUGAUGACUAAAGAUAAUUCAUUAUUUUGGUUGACUUUUUAACAACAAUUUGAUACUAAAAUGAUUUGGCUUUUAUUAUUGCACAUGGAACAGGUGCUGUUGUGGAAGUAACUUGCAAUGUCGGUGAAAAGAAGGUUAAGGCCUAUGGAAAAACCAAGAUCAAUGGAAAAUUCAGCAUCACGGUUGAAGGAUUUGACUAUGCCAAAUAUGGAGCCGAGGCAUGCAAGGCCAAGCUCCACGCUGCACCCACUGGUUCACCAUGCAACAUUCCCACCAGUCUACACGAGGGCAACACGGGUGCUGAGCUCAAGGUGAAGUCAAAGACCAAGUACGAGGUUGUGCUCAAGGCUAAGCCAUUUGCCUAUGCUCCAAAGACUCCUUACAAGGAGUGUGAAAAGCCGAAGCCAAAGCCGAAGCCUCCAACUCCUUACUACUAUACUUCUCCACCACCACCUACACCCGUUUAUAUCUAUAAAUCACCACCUCCUCCACCACCAACAUACGUCUACAAGUCACCACCACCUCCAUCCCACCCAUACAAGCCACCAACUGAGCCAUACAAACCACCACCAUACUACUACAAAUCUCCACCUCCACCAUCACCCUCCUACAUCUAUAAGUCACCACCCCCACCAACCCCCACUUACGUUUACAAAUCACCACCACCUCCAUCUCACCCAUACAAGCCACCAACUGAACCAUACAAACCACCACCAUACUACUACAAGUCCCCACCUCCACCAUCACCCACCUACGUCUACAAAUCACCACCACCUCCAUCUCACCCAUACAAGCCACCAACUGAGCCAUACAAACCACCACCAUACUACUACAAAUCUCCACCUCCACCAUCACCCACCUACGUCUACAAGUCACCACCCCCACCAACCCCUACUUACGUCUACAAAUCACCACCACCUCCAUCUCACCCAUACAAGCCACCAACUGAGCCACACAAACCACCACCAUACUACUACAAGUCACCACCUCCACCAUCGCCUACUUACAUCUACAAAUCACCACCACCUCCAUCUCACCCAUACAAGCCACCAACUGAGCCACACAAGCCACCACCAUACUACUACAAGUCACCACCUCCACCAUCGCCUACUUACAUCUACAAAUCACCACCACCUCCACCAUACUACUAUAAAUCCCCACCACCUCCAUCUCCAUCCCCACCUCCUCCAUACUAUUACGAGUCUCCACCACCACCAAAACACGAAGAAAAACCUCCAUACUACUACAAGUCUCCUCCACCUCCAUCUCCAUCCCCACCUCCUCCAUACUACUACAAGUCUCCACCACCUCCUCCACAUUACGUCUCACCACCAUACUAUUAUAAAUCUCCACCACCACCAUCGCCAUCUCCUCUUCCACCAUACUACUACAAAUCCCCGCCACCACCAGUCCAUUCUCCACCACCACCAUACUAUUACAAAUCUCCACCACCACCAUCGCCAUCUCCUCUUCCACCAUACUACUACAAAUCACCUCCACCUCCUUCACCCUCUCCCACACCCCCAUAUUAUUACAAGUCUCCACCACCACCAGUCCAUUCCCCUCCACCACCAUACUACUACAAAUCACCACCACCUCCAAUAAAGUCUCCAGCACCAGUCUACCACUACAACUCUCCUCCUCCACCAUCACCAUCUCCUCAUCCUCCAUAUUACUACAAAUCCCCACCACCUCCAUCUCCAUCACCAUUACCCCCAUAUUACUACAAAUCUCCUCCUCCACCGUCGCCAUCUCCUCUUCCACCCUAUUACUACAAAUCCCCACCACCACCAGUCCACUCUCCACCACCACCAUACUACUACAAGUCCCCACCACCACCAUCGCCAUCUCCUCUUCCACCAUACUACUACAAAUCCCCUCCACCUCCUUCACCCUCUCCUCCACCACCAUACUAUUACAAAUCACCACCACCUCCAGUAGAGGCUCCGGCACCAACCUAUCACUACAAAUCCCCACCACCACCAUACUACUACAACUCUCCCCCACCACCCCCAUAUUAUUACAAGUCCCCACCCCCACCUUCCCCAUCACCACCACCUCCCUACUACUACAAGUCUCCACCUCCACCUUCCCCGUCACCACCACAUCCUUACUAUUACAAAUCCCCACCUCCUCCCUCACCCUCACCCCUUCCCCCAUAUUACUACCACUCACCUCCCCCACCAGUGACAUCACCUCCACCUCCGGUCUACAUUUACGCUUCUCCUCCACCACCAACUCACUACUAGGCUCAGAAAGAUCAACCACAAAAUUACAUCGUUCAUGUAAGUAAUAGUUUAGUUAAACCUAUCAUUAUUAGUUAUCAUCCAACGAUUUAUUUCAUAUUCUAAUUACUUUUCUGCAUUUAAAUUUCAGGU